rnacentral:rRNA from 1 species
GUACACACCGCCCGUCACGUCAUGAAAGCCGGUUUUGCCCGAAGUGUGUUUGCUAACCCGCAAGGGAGGCGAUGCCCUAAGGUGAGGCUGGUGAUUGGGACGAAGUCGUAACAAGGUAGCCGUAGGUGAACCUGCAGAAGGAUCA